GCUGAGGUGCCCCAUGAGAGGCAGCAGUGCUCGGCAGCCUCUUGCUGGCUGCCCGAGCUCGACAGCAAGUGGAGCUGCUGAAUUGCAGAGCAAUAAAAUACCAGCAGCAAGGUGAACACUGCCAUCUCAUCUUUUGGGAAGACUCCCCAACUUCUGACUCUUUGCUGGAAUACCUAAUAUAACUAAUUUAAGAAAGGAGCAUACAGUCUCACACAGCACCAUUGAAAGAACAUUAACUGCUGGCUUGGAGACUACAGCAGCAGCAGAACAACUGAUGUAUGGCCAUCAAAUAACUAAUCUCAGGCAAGACAACGAAUUUAUUAGGGUGUUGAUUUCCCCAUUUCUGAGACAGCAAUAAUACUAAUUCAUUUAGCAGAAGAUUUGUAACACUGACAGAUGAAACUGUACAUCAAGACCAAAGUACUGGCCGUACUGAAGGCUGAUUAGAAGUUCCAACAGCGCAGAGCUGCACUUUAGCCUUGUGGGCUAAUAUACAACAGUCUAAUCUUUCCACUCAGAUUUCAGAAUACCAACUGCAGAUGUUGCAGUAUCUUACUUAAUGAGGAUUUCCAGCCAUCUCCCUAUACUCCUUUAUCUCUUAUCCUCCUCUAGACUGGAAUCCCUGAAAAUUUCCCACAAGCCAUCAAGCACACAAGCACAGCAAGRGUCACAGGCUCAUCUUUCCCCCUCAAUCUCUGUCUCUGCUGGGAACAUCUUUCUUUGCUAGCAUUAUGACCAUGUGUCGUGGUUUAAACCCAGAUAGCAACUAAAUACCACACAGUCACUUGCUCCCCCUGCCACACACAAGGAGAGAGGAGAGGAAUCAGAAUAAAAAAUAAAAAAAAAAUCCUUAACUUAUGGGUUGAUAUAAGAAUAGUUUUAUAAUUCAAACAAAAUAAAAGAUGAUAAUAGUGAUGUUGAUGAUUAAGAUAGUAAAAAUAUGGGAGAGAAAGGGAAGUAACACCGAAGAGGAACAAAUAAUGUGAACAAAAUUUGCUCACCACCUGCUGACUGAUGCCCUGUUUGUCAUUAAGAAGUAAUAGACCCCUCCUGGCCAAUUCCACCAUAGUUUAUAUCCUGGGCAUGAUGCUCUAUGGUAUGGAAAAUUCCUCUGGUCAGUUCAGGUCGCUUGUCCUGGCCAUGCUACCUCAUGGUUUCUUGUGCACCUGCUCACUGUCAGAGCAUGGGAAACUGAAAAGUCUUUGACUUAGGGCAAGCACUGCACAGCAACAACUAAAACAUCAGUGUGUUAUCAACAUAAUUGUAAUAUUAAAUCCAAAAAUACAGCACCACUGUCCCAGUCAAAAGCAGGCUGAAUACUUCUACCUUCUCCUUUCUGGCCUCACCUGCCUCACUUAAACAGUCCUGCACUAUUCAUUCUCACUUUUAAGCCCYUCUUCCUAACAUGGUCUCCAGUUACCAUGUCUUUACUGACUGGCAUCCUUGUCAAUGUUUAUUCUCUUUAUAUCAGAGUCAGAUUUCUUCCCAGAAGUCUGCUGCAAGUUUGCCAGCGAAGUUUGCUUAUUAGGAUUUCGAAUUUGACACACAGCUGUACAAAAACCCCUCCCAAUUCUGAAGGGUCUUGAUGUACAUUAAAGAGUGAUGUGGACAGGGCUGCUGAUUCGUGUGAUCAGACCCUCAGUGUGAGACAUAGCUCAGGCCCUGACACCUAUACACUGGUCACCUCAUUUUGUGCCAGUUCUUCCCCAUGCAGAAUGACUGGUGUGUCCCCAUCAGUCUUGAUAUUUCUAAUCUUGUUUUCUCUGAAACAAUGGAUUUAAUCUUGCAUGGAGUACAGGCACACUGGACACCUUCAAGAACUUAUAAAAAUGAAAUCAUGAAUACAGUAUGUGUUCAUUCGUUUCCUCUUUCACAACUUCUGUUCCCAGCACUCUUCUGCAGUAUCAACACUUCUUUAUUUUUAACUACAGCAGACCAGCCUGGUUUUGUCUUUUGCACUAUGCCUGCAUUUGGGGCAGAGAAACAUCCAUGUCUGAACUCUUUGAACAAUACCAGAAUAGCCAGAGUCCCUGCCCUGUACACAGGUAACACACCUAACGGGCUGAUGAACAGUGCCCUGCUGCCCUGAAAGAGAGCAGCUCUGGCCUUGCAGCUGCUCCAAGUGCAGCUGUACCUUCCCUGCCUGUCCCAUGGCUUUUGCAAGUGUGCACUCCCCUUUCUUCACCCACUGCAAGAACUAAGCUAUAAGCUGCACAUGCAGUGAAGGCCCAGCUUACUCCAGCUUACCACUAGAUCUAUCUGUUGCUCAUUCACUCAUGGAAUCUGAUUUACAAAGCAUUUUCCCAGCCUUGCAUUUAAUUACUCUUCAAGUUCUCAUUUUCCCCAGCAGCUGAAACCAAACAGAAACAGAACUGAAUCUGUGAGAAAAGGAGCACCGAUACAAAGCUUUGUCAGAAGUGUGAGCAAACAAAACUAUCUACAGCAUUUCUGUUUCACAGGCUAAAAUAGUUAAUUUCUUCCAAUAAAAUACACAGUCUUUAUUAAAGAGCUCCUUUAUAAAUUAAUGUAUGCACAUUUACCAUGUUAUUGUAGUAACACUUGCUGCUUCUAGGAAAAUGUGUAUACUUAGUGCUAAAAUUAUUUCCAGCUGACACCAGCAAUUGUGUUUCUGUACAUGAGYGUGGUGGGAAGAGGGCAUUAUGCAUGCUCAUUUGUCCUACAUACGUUUGUUAAUAUAUGUAGGACGUAUGAGAGAUGCUUUCACAGUGUAAUUACUCAAUAUACAAGGACUCCAAGCACAAACCUACAUUAUACUGRGAAAGCAAAGCUUCUGCCAAUGCAGCUUUAUUUUAGUAGCCUAGUCAGUAGAAAGCAAAAUAUUGCUGGGAUAAACAUAUCUUUACUGAAGUCUUCUGCAAUAAUGGCUGUACUGGUCUGAACUCACCUAACUAACUCAGCUGGUACAUCAGCUGUAAUACAAGCCAGUAUUUCUGGUACAGUUGCAGUGUUUAAAGACAGUGAAAAAUGAAAGAACUGUUUUCUGGAGUUUGGUGCUUGGACUUUGCUAUCUGCUGUAAAGUUGUAAUGCCACAAAAUGUGGCCCGCCAUUUUCUCAAUAUCAGUAUUCACCACUUGGCAGGGGUAAGUCAAACUUACAAGUAAUCAGCAGAACCAGAAAUCAACUGUAUUUUUGUUCUCAAAAGCAGUGUGGAGGAAAAGCAGCAGCCAGCACUGCAGACAAGAUCAAAAGUUUUGGGGAAAACCAUGUUCUUUUUAUAAAGUUCCCAAACUGCACUGCCAAGUGGAAUUUCUAAAACUAAGACAAAAUUAAGUCAACAUCUCCAGCUCUGCCUUAGCUUUCCUGAAUACAAACUGUUGAUUUCAUCAAUAACUUCWGGAAUUUGUCCUAUAUUUGUGUAUCUAUGCAUGCAAAAUUAAGUUGCAAGAGGACCUCACAGUUAGUGAAGYGUGUGUUCACAUCUCAUCAACUGAAGUUCUUGGGAACUGACACUAAAAAUAGUUUGCCAUCACUACUGCUGUGAGCCAGAAGGCARUUAUUCUCUGACCAUUUGCUUGUGCCAGGUGCAUUUCCUAGCCACAACUAUACUGAGUCCCAGCUUGGUUUCCAGCUCUUUGUAGCCCAGGAUAUUCCAGGGUCCUUUCCUCUAUUCACUACUUGGCUCUACUCUUCCUUUACGUUUCUUUAACACUGUUCCCGGAGGAAAUCCUGUGAAAUGCAGAUUCCCAGAUUGCGACAAUGCAGAGACAGUUAUGAGAGCCUGCAUGAGGUGGUGCAGGGAUGAAGCACAAGCAUGGCUGUGCUGACCUACAGUGGUGUCUGGAAAGAGAUGCUGAGAGGGUGCAGGUUGUGGCAAACAGGCAGAGUGUCCUAAAAUGAAUUAGCAGACUUCUACCCCUGGUGUUUUUUCAAUGCUACAGACCAGUCUACCAAAACCACCAAGGGGCAAGGAACGGAAAGCAUAGAAAAACUGCAGUGGAAGGGCUAAAAAGAGUCGGUGCCAUCUACAGAAAGGUUCUGUGUUGUCCCCUGCUCCCCUCUACAGCUACAGGUGAGGUGGCCUCCAAGACUGAACAAGGGAGCAGCCAUCAGGCAGAGCAGAGCAACCUUCUGGAAAGGUCAAAACAAAACACUGGGAGUCAAAUUCAUCGCUGGUACAACUCCAUUGACUUCAGCAGCRUUACACCUGGGAUAGAUCCAGCCCUAACUGCUUCCAUUACGCUUUAAAAGCUUYUUCCUUCAAUUCUUCGUUACAUACUAUGAUGAACUUUGAAAUUGUACCAGUACCCAUUGCUCCGGCUGAAACACCACCCAAAGCCCUACUAGUGUCAUGCAUCCUUGCCCUGGAAGCUUCUGAAAGACAUUAUGGACUGUGCCUGGCAGUGUGCAGCAUCUCCCAAACUGGGAUGUGGGAUGGGUGAUGGGUUUCACCAAGAGAUGGAACAAGCACAUCUAAACUGCAGAUGCAUCGCUCCAGCACACGUAUGCUACACAACAUUUUCAGAUGUGCGAUUUGGAUUUUGAGACAAUUUACUGACGGAGAGGCUCAUCUGUGCUGGAAUGUUACUGUGCUCAACCACAGCCACAGCAUCUCCUCUUCUUGAGGAAGCUGUCUAAGGUGGUCCCUAAAGGCACAAGAGAAUAUCCAUUCACUACCUCUUCCACAAGAUAAAGAUCCUCUAUCCCAAAUUGACAACUUAYACACUCUCUUACUGACUCCCAGUUUGAAGGCUUUGUGGUAAAAUUCAGUACCUACUCUGUCACACAGAUCCUUCACCAUUUAUCUCAUGUCAGCUCAGUCAGCAWCACUGACCAGGUCUCAGGUGCUAAUGGCUGUCAUUUAAACGUUGUCUUAACAUAGAAUCAGUCAGGAAAAAGCAAUUAUUUUAAGGAAUACUAUUGCAUUAAUUUAGUUUGCAUCACUGGAAUGUCUUAGUAUAAUGGAUAACGCAUUUGUGMUCAUACGAAUGUACUCCCUGUAAAAACAAUCUUAAGAUAUAAAUAAUGAGGCAAGAAGGAUUUGUGAAAGGGGCUUUUUCUGCUCUUUGUAUUUGCUUGCUCUUCUUUUAAACUGUGUAUCAUUCACUUUAAUGUACACAUUUGSAAUACCUAUGCAACUGAGAGUAAUUCAAUUUUCCCACCACAAUCCACAAGAUGUUCUUCCCUUGAUCAUUCCAAUUYGUACAUUACUUUGUGGCCACUUCAGUGUCAAAUUCAGCCUUCCCUGCAAUACCCAAAUGCUUCUAACACAAUUUACAGCCUACUUAGAGACUACCUUCUUGGAAAUAAUGUUAAUCAGGAUAAUUUCUCCUCUUACUUUAAGGAGCUCUUGAUUGGGUGCUUUCAAUCAGCUGUUAGCCAGAGUUACCUCAGAAUUUCUCAAGUUCUUAUGGGGAAAUGGGACAAUGCCAUUUAGCAGUCAGAGAGCAUGUUUAAUGGAUCACGCUAAUCUCAGGGAGGGCCUAUGAAAGUCUAAUUUGUCAGGUUUCAUUACAUUCAAUAAUGGCUCUAAUUUUCCUGAAGUGUUCUGCUCACUAGUAAAUUAUGUACCAUGGUUUUGCACCCCAUUUUCUCUAACUCUGUAUUUGAAAAAUUGAAGGCAUCUCAUUCUCCAAGGCCACUGCCCAGAAGAGGCCUGAAAAAGAGAGGUUAAGAGUUCACAGCCAGAUGUAUUUAUCUCAGAAGCAGGUAUAAUUCUUUGCAAACAGCUAAGUGUCAGUGCAAAACCAAGCUGAUUCAGGGUAAUAAAAGCACUUCUGCAAAGCUUUUAGGUGACACUAUAUCCCUCACAAGCUUUCUCCACCCCUGUGUCCAUUUUAUCAUCCGAUACCAUCAUUACCUUGACCAAUCUUCACAUUAUUUCCUUUCCAAAUGGAUCGAUUGUAAACCAGCUCAUCUGCUAAUGCUCGGUGCAGGUUUGGGUGAUUCUCCUAUUGUUUCAAUUAUUUCUUUGAGGAAAAUUGAAUCCUGUUAAGCAAACAGGGCUUUUAUCUCAGCUGAAGAUGCAAGAGCUGUGGUUGCCACUGACAGAUCAAGAGCUUCUUAUGAAACCCUCCUUUCAGUUGUAGCACCCUCAAGUGACAGAGAUGUCCCAGUUUAGCUCAUUACAAGUAACAGACAGUGUUAGCUAUAACCCAGCACAUUAAAUAGUUGAGCUAUUAAAAUUAACCAGUAUUUCUGGAGGAAGAUGUGCCAUCUCAGCAAAUGAUGUGGUGAUCUCCCUGGUUUUGAUCUGCUGCGACAAACGAAUGACUUCCCAAAGAGCAAAACAAAAGGCACAAAUGGCUUCACCCCGAUUUCCAGGGGCUAAUUCUGCUUUGGAGAGAAACACAGCAUUGAUCGAGAUUCAAAACAGAACCUGUCAGGUUUUCUCAGAUGUCUUUGGAGAUCUGGCUUGGCAGUCCAUAAGUAAUGCAGAGUGUGCAGAGGCAAAAGCCCCAGGGAGAGUGAUCACAAAGGAAUAAAUAGAGCAAAAYAGAUCAUCUUCCAUUUGCUGCUUGUGGGGCAACUCCACGGUACYUUCACACCUCUUCACUCCAGGGUAACAGUGCCUAUGCACUUUCUACACAGAGACUGAGGAGGUUCUGUCCACAGCCAUUCAAAACCCUCUUUAUAAGKUACUAUAUACUGAAUGGGGUCAAAGUAAUUUGAUUAUAAAUGUCUGCAGUCACAUUUUAAACCCCACAAUCAUCUCCCAGGAUAGUUUUAUGUAAAACUUAGUCAGCUACCCGAAGAAACAGUGUUUAUCAAGAUCUGCCUUUCACAGAGUUCAAUGUAGCAUUGCUGGAAAUAAACACCAGCUCAGUCAGAGACUCUAAUUUCAGAUUUGUUAUGCCAGGACUUACAUGAUUUUCCUUGUCUUGCUCAGAUACGCAUGAAGGGUCCAAAAGAACAGCCUUGCUGUAAGCAUGAGACCAAAGAGAGCCACUUUCUGUUCAUUAUUGCCUUUAAUACACCAGCCUGGUGCUGGAAAGACUGUUCUGUUGCCACCAGUGAAGUCCUGAGGAGAAGACACAGCUUUCCUACACAGAGCACUUAGAACUUGUCCAGAAUAAAUCAGGAGGAACUUAACUGCAAAAAUGUCACCAGAACCAUAGUCAGAUGACAGAGCACUGCUUAGCACUGUUUAACUUGAAUCCUUCUAGGCCUCAAGAGACUAGCUGCUAGGGACUAGGAAAUUAGCCCUUUUCAAAGCAAGGGAUUCAAAUGUCUCUUAAACUUGUAAAUGCCUGAAGUUGAAUGCAGAUUUCRGGGCUCUGCCCAUCACCAGAUAUCUAGUGAUGCUCUGGUAUGUCAAARCAAAUACAGUAAAUAACCCUACUACUUCUACACGGCAUUAUCAUUCCUGAUCCGAAAAAAGCUUUUCAAGUGAAACAUGCUCUGCACUACCUGAAUGCAGAAACAGCUGUCUGUCCUGCAGUGUUUUGCUUAAAAUGCUUCAAAUGGCCCUUGGUUUCUGUGCCUAAGGCUGAUAUACACUCGCUUGUACCAGCAGCUCCUAGGCUGGAGCCCUCAUUGAGGAAAAAGCCAAUUUGUCUUUCACUGCUUUAACAUCAACAUAGCAGGAAUCACAGCACUUUUGAAAUACCCCCCGUGAUUGUGUUUGUGACUCGGGCACUUGGGAAAUUCAUGCCACUUUGAAUGAUGAUGUUUUAUUGGGAGAACAUCAGAAGUAGCAAGAUGUCUUGUAUUGACAUAUUGGUUCCACUUUGCUAGACAUACGGGAUCAAAGUCGUCCCUGGCACAACUCCAUAACCUUCAACAGAUKGGAUAAAUUUGGCCCCAUAUGCCUGUAGCAGCUGGGGACUACAAUUGUUUUCCUAUUUUCAGCCAUAUUUUGAGGAUAUGGAGCCUGAUUUUCUGCUUGCAAAGCAACUUGAGAUUUUGCAUAUGUGCAAUGUGAGGCGAACAAUUUGUAUUGUCAUAUAUGGCCCUGGUAUGAUUGUUAGGGUCAUCUGCAGCACAUACUUAAAUUUUGAAUUAAACACAUGCUAUAAAUAGGCUAGGAAGAAUCAAGCUAGAUUAUUUUAUCAGACACUCAGCAAUCUGUUUGACUGGCUUCCCUGCCCACUAGACAUGGCAUCAGAGUCCAUUUUGAAUGCAAAAUUGCAUUUUCUUUAUGCAGCUUCUCCUAUCCUCCAUUGUAUUCAUAUAGAGAGAAGCAGUUCAUAAAUGCCAUUUCACAUUCCAAACAAUUUGCUAUAGGCAACUACAUUACUGCUUUGUUCAAAUAAAUUUACAUAAAUCAUUAUUAGAAUGUUUUAUCUUAGCAACUUUAUUUUGCUCCCAGAGCACAAAUUAAAUGCGUGCAUAAACCAGAAUAUUUUAGAGGGAGUUAUUCCUGAAUUGUUUAUGAGACAGCAGACAUUUCCACCUAAUUUUUCAUUCAUAAUGUAAUUUCUUUAGUUUUCUCUGCAUAGUUAAAAACRGCACAUCUAAUUUGCUGGGGUUUUCCUGGAAGUGCGCAAUAGAAUAGAUGACUGUGCCGCAAUCUGUUCAUCCAUCAGCCAGCACUUCCUUUGACUCACUCCACAUUCUGCUCAAAACACUUGGUGGGAAAGGCCAGGAAUGACAGUAAACCCCACUYGCUGCUUGACAUGAUCGUAUUACGAGUAAACUGUUGUUGUUAACCAAAAUUUGCAAAUAAAGUCACUGGAAAAGGAAUCUAUUUCUAGUAAAUAUUUCCGUGUUUGGAUUAAUUGAACAGAGCUCUCAGAGGCCUCGCUAGCUCAGAUUUACAGCUCAGC